rnacentral:rRNA from 1 species
UACGUAGGGGGCAAGCGUUGUCCGGAUUUAUUGGGCGUAAAGAGCGUGUAGGCGGCUAUGCAGGUCCGCUGUGAAAACUCGAGGCUCAACCUCGAGACGUCGGUGGAAACCGCAUGGCUAGAGUCCGGAAGAGGAGAGUGGAAUUCCCGGUGUAGCGGUGAAAUGCGCAGAUAUCGGGAAGAACACCAAUGGCGAAAGCAGCUCUCUGGGACGGUACUGACGCUGAGACGCGAAAGCGUGGGGAGCGAACAGG